rnacentral:tRNA from 1 species
UCCGCGGUAACUCAGAGUGCUGACUUAAGGGCCGCAAGCCCCGGCCGGUUAGAGUGCCUAGCUGAUAACUAGGAGGUCGUUGGUUCGAAUCCAACCCGCGGAGCCA